GAUGAACGCUGGCGGCGUGCCUAAUACAUGCAAGUCGAGCGAACGGACGAGAAGCUUGCUUCUCUGAUGUUAGCGGCGGACGGGUGAGUAACACGUGGAUAACCUACCUAUAAGACUGGGAUAACUUCGGGAAACCGGAGCUAAUACCGGAUAAUAUUUUGAACCGCAUGGUUCAAAAGUGAAAGACGGUCUUGCUGUCACUUAUAGAUGGAUCCGCGCUGCAUUAGCUAGUUGGUAAGGUAACGGCUUACCAAGGCAACGAUGCAUAGCCGACCUGAGAGGGUGAUCGGCCACACUGGAACUGAGACACGGUCCAGACUCCUACGGGAGGCAGCAGUAGGGAAUCUUCCGCAAUGGGCGAAAGCCUGACGGAGCAACGCCGCGUGAGUGAUGAAGGUCUUCGGAUCGUAAAACUCUGUUAUUAGGGAAGAACAUAUGUGUAAGUAACUGUGCACAUCUUGACGGUACCUAAUCAGAAAGCCACGGCUAACUACGUU
rnacentral:rRNA from 1 species